GCUAAAUAAGAGCGUAUGGGGAAUGCCUAGGCUCUCAGAGGCGAUGAAGGACGUGAUAAGCUGCGAAAAGCUGCGGGGAUUGGCACAUACAAAUUGAUCCGCAGAUAUCCGAAUGGGGCAACCCAGCAUGUUGAAGACAUGUUAUCCGCAAGGAGGCGAACCCGGAGAACUGAAACAUCUAAGUACCCGGAGGAAAGGACAGCAAUAGCGACUCCCCUAGUAGCGGCGAGCGAACGGGAACCAGGCCAGUGUCUCUUCUUGAGUCAGCGGAACGAUCUGGAAAGUUCGGCCAUAGCGGGUGAUAGCCCCGUACGUUAAAGCGAUUGAAGAGACCUUGAGUAGGGCGGGACACGUGAAAUCCUGUCUGAACAUGGGGGGACCACCCUCCAAGCCUAAGUACUCCUUACCAACCGAUAGUGAACCAGUACCGUGAGGGAAAGGUGAAAAGCACCCCGACGAGGGGAGUGAAACAGAUCCUGAAACCGGACGCCUACAAGCAGUCGGAGCCGCCUUGCGCGGUGACGGCGUACCUUUUGUAUAAUGGGUCAUCGACUUGGUCUAUCUAGCAAGCUUAAGCCGUUAGGUGUAGGCGCAGCGAAAGCGAGUCUUAAUAGGGCGCAUGAGUUAGAUGGAUCAGACCCGAAACCGAGUGAUCUAGGCAUGAUCAGGAUGAAGGCAAGGUAACACUUGCUGGAGGUCCGAACCCACA
rnacentral:rRNA from 1 species